rnacentral:tRNA from 1 species
CGGGAUGUGGCUCAGCUUGGUAGAGCACCACGUUCGGGACGUGGGGGUCGCAGGUUCAAAUCCUGUCAUCCCGA